ACCACGAGGGUUAGACUGUCUCCUUUUUCAAAUCAGUGAAAUUAAUCUCCCCGUGAAGAAGCGGGGAUACUCAUAUAAGACGAGAAGACCCCAUGGAGCUUCAAACCCAACUACACCCCUAGCUCUUAUAGCCCCACAACCCCCCUAGGCACCGUGUGCUUGGUUUUAGGUUGGGGCGACCGCGGAGUACAAUAAAACCUCCACAAUGAAUGGGAACACCCCCUUAUCUGAGGGCCACACCCCCUAAGAAUUAGAACACUAACAUAAAAUGAUCCAUUAUUUGAUCAAUGAACCAAGUUACCCUGGGGAUAACAGCGCAAUCCAUUUCAAGAGCCCCUAUCGACAAAUGGGUUUACGACCUCGAUGUUGGAUCAGGGUACCCCAGUGGUGCAGCAGCUACUAACGGUUCGUUUGUUCAACGAUUAAAACCCU
rnacentral:rRNA from 1 species